rnacentral:rRNA from 1 species
AUAGGGGAGCCGAAGGGAAACCGAGUCUUAACUGGGCGUUAAGUUGCAGGGUAUAGACCCGAAACCCGGUGAUCUAGCCAUGGGCAGGUUGAAGGUUGGGUAACACUAACUGGAGGACCGAACCGACUAAUGUUGAAAAAUUAGCGGAUGACUUGUGGCUGGGGGUGAAAGGCCAAUCAAACCGGGAGAUAGCUGGUUCUCCCCGAAAGCUAUUUAGGUAGCGCCUCGUGAAUUCAUCUCCGGGGGUAGAGCACUGUUUCGGCAAGGGGGUCAUCCCGACUUACCAACCCGAUGCAAACUGCGAAUACCGGAGAAUGUUAUCACGGGAGACACACGGCGGGUGCUAACGUCCGUCGUGAAGAGGGAAACAACCCAGACCGCCAGCUAAGGUCCCAAAGUCAUGGUUAAGUGGGAAACGAUGUGGGAAGGCCCAGACAGCCAGGAUGUUGGCUUAGAAGCAGCCAUCAUUUAAAGAAAGCGUAAUAGCUCACUGGUCGAGUCGGCCUGCGCGGAAGAUGUAACGGGGCUAAACCAUGCACCGAAGCUGCGGCAGCGACACUAUGUGUUGUUGGGUAGGGGAGCGUUCUGUAAGCCUGUGAAGGUGUACUGUGAGGUAUGCUGGAGGUAUCAGAAGUGCGAAUGCUGACAUAAGUAACGAUAAAGCGGGUGAAAAGCCCGCUCGCCGGAAGACCAAGGGUUCCUGUCCAACGUUAAUCGGGGCAGGGUGAGUCGACCCCUAAGGCGAGGCCGAAAGGCGUAGUCGAUGGGAAACAGGUUAAUAUUCCUGUACUUGGUGUUACUGCGAAGGGGGGACGGAGAAGGCUAUGUUGGCCGGGCGACGGUUGUCCCGGUUUAAGCGUGUAGGCUGGUUUUCCAGGCAAAUCCGGAAAAUCAAGGCUGAGGCGUGAUGACGAGGCACUACGGUGCUGAAGCGACAAAUGCCCUGCUUCCAGGAAAAGCCUCUAAGCAUCAGGUAACAUCAAAUCGUACCCCAAACCGACACAGGUGGUCAGGUAGAGAAUACCAAGGCGCUUGAGAGAACUCGGGUGAAGGAACUAGGCAAAAUGGUGCCGUAACUUCGGGAGAAGGCACGCUGAUAUGUAGGUGAAGCGACUUGCUCGUGGAGCUGAAAUCAGUCGAAGAUACCAGCUGGCUGCAACUGUUUAUUAAAAACACAGCACUGUGCAAACACGAAAGUGGACGUAUACGGUGUGACGCCUGCCCGGUGCCGGAAGGUUAAUUGAUGGGGUUAGCGGUAACGCGAAGCUCUUGAUCGAAGCCCCGGUAAACGGCGGCCGUAACUAUAACGGUCCUAAGGUAGCGAAAUUCCUUGUCGGGUAAGUUCCGACCUGCACGAAUGGCGUAAUGAUGGCCAGGCUGUCUCCACCCGAGACUCAGUGAAAUUGAACUCGCUGUGAAGAUGCAGUGUACCCGCGGCAAGACGGAAAGACCCCGUGAACCUUUACUAUAGCUUGACACUGAACA